rnacentral:rRNA from 1 species
UACGGAGGGAGCUAGCGUUGUUCGGAAUUACUGGGCGUAAAGCGCGCGUAGGCGGCUUUGUAAGUUAGAGGUGAAAGCCCGGGGCUCAACCCCGGAAUUGCCUUUAAGACUGCAUCGCUUGAAUCCGGGAGAGGUGAGUGGAAUUCCGAGUGUAGAGGUGAGAUUCGUAGAUAUUCGGAAGAACACCAGUGGCGAAGGCGGCUCACUGGACCGGCAUUGACGCUGAGGUGCGAAAGCGUGGGGAGCAAACAGG